AACGACCUAGCCCGAGUCUUGAUUUCUAACCACACUUUUUGCGUGCUUCUUGAUAAGAUCAAUCACAUGGUUGUGUUAAGUUUCCUGUUUCGCCUAAAUUGUGAGCUACACUUUCCGGCUGACACAUGGCGGUGUUGAAUUUGCCAAGCGUGCCAAAGCACUGUCUCAAGAGUGCGUAGGGCGAAACCACCAGCCAUCCUUACUGUGCUCGAGCGUAAAGUGCUAUGGCCCCUAGGUUCGCAGGUCUAGUCGGCAACUGGAUUUCUAAGAUAGUAAUAGUGAUGUCAAUCGGGUGUUGAUGAUGAUGAGCUUCAAACGAUGUUGCAACUUGCAACCACAAGGAUAAGGCCGCUUCGAUCCUCCCAAGCAUGCGCGUGAUUAAGUAGCCCAAUAUUUGUAGUUCCUGGCUGCUUGGAAGUCGGCCAUAAGGAUAAUGGUCACAGCCUUAGCUUGAAAAACUGAGCCUUAAUUUGUGAGAGACAGCGACUUCAACCUGAACUGGCCUAUGGUAGAUAUUGGCCUUUGAGAGAUGCUGCUUCAGCUUCGAAGCCUGAACUCUGAUGAAGAGGCUCGAUGUGGGUCUCAACUAUUCGGUAAGCUGAAAGAUGUGAGCCUUAGGUCGGAACCCUCGACUCCAUGGAAUAGAUGGCCCGAAAGUCGAUCCUAAGAGUAAUGCGUCUACGAACCUCGGAAGAUUCGUAGCGCGUGGAUCUUGGCCUCGCAAAGCAGAGAGAAACCGCACCUAGAUCUGGAAACCUAAGCUCGGGCGGAAGCCCGUCCCUUGCCCGAAAGCACAAAAAGGGGUAGAAGAGGUAGGUAUCGAAAUUGUGUCCUAGUUAGAGGAUGAACUAGUUAGAGGAUGGUCGGUGCCAUGGCUGAACUCUUUAGUACGUCUCUUCGUAGAAGUGGGCAUGGCCUUAUCGUGCCUCUCAAGUCUUGGAUCGCCGCUUGCAGGGGAUAAGGGCAUUUCCCCUUGGAGUUGGCUAAUUGAGCAGCCAAUACUCUUUCAGCUUGUUUGCGCCGUUGCUCUUGGUGCUUUUGAGUUCGAGUUAUUGGCCGAAAGUCUCUCGAUUGUGUGAUUCUCCUCCGUUCAUAUUUUGGGGUUAAGGCUGGAAGCCUAAUUGGCCUUGCCUCCUCGGAACUCCUUUGGCUUCUAAUCUGGUCAUGCCAACAGAACUAGUGGCCCAUAGUUUGGUUAGACUUGGUGAAUUGGUGGCCAAUGAUUGAGUUGGCCUCUCUGCUGAACUGCAAGCCAGUAGUUGAGUUGGCCUGACUGUUGAUCUAGGGGCCAAUGGCUUAGCUGUUAUACUGGAGGCUGACUUGACUGCUGAAUUGGAGGCCAGUGGCUAGGCUUCUGCAACAGAAUUGGUGGCUACUAGAGGUUUGACCACGUUGCCUUGCAAGAUAGUAAUAGAUGUUGACUGAUCAGCCAUAAAUCUACCGGCUCGUUGACGUCGUUGUUCACGACGCUUUUGAGUCUUAGUCGAAGGUUGAUGAAACUUGGAACCAGUGUUCCUCCAUCAUGUGUGCUUCGAUUGUGGCAGGAGAUGCUUGUAGCCCUUGCCUGGCCAUAACCCUUUCACCUUUCAAUCUUACUGUGCCAUUUGAGAUGACAACCGAUGCUUUGGCCUUGCCAAUAGAGGAACUAGCUGAAUUGAUGGCCAAGAGCUAGCCUGAACUGGCUACUGAACUGGAGGUGAGCUUCACUACUGAACUAGAGGCUAGGGGCCCGCCCUCUCCAACAGAAUUGUUUGCUGCUAGAGGUUUGGCCUUGUUUGCAAAAACUGUGCCUUGAUUUUUCGUCUUUAUCAUUGGCUGUUGGCCUUGACGGGAUGUCGGUCGUUAACUCAUCAAUAAGGGCUUUGAUCACGUCAACCUUUGAGGCGGCAUGCGAAAAAUCCUCAAUAUCAUCUUGAAGCUUGAAAUGUUGCGAGAAUUUGUCAGAUUCAUGAUCACCGCCAUUUUCUUUGGGCGAAUUCGCCCUAGCAUUUAACGGGCUGAAGAUGAUAAAGGCAAGCCUUUCUCCACGGACCUUUCCUCAUCAUUCUAGCUUGGUCGACAUGUUGGAUUGCCCGAGGCUGACUCAUCAACGAAGACUUUAAUCAAACCGGCCUCUAAAACGGUAUGUGUAGAAUCUACAAUUUUGUAGCGGGACAGCUCUCGGUCAAGAGUUUGCUUAGCCUUUUCAUAGGGUAAGGCCUCUUCGAUAACAUCGGCGCCAUCUUGACGCUGGAGAUCUUUAACCUCUAGGUAGAGUUAGGAUGAAUGCGAAGAUGCAGCUUUCACAGGGGGCAAAAGAUACGGUACUUUAGGUUGGCCUUUAGGCGAUAGAGAGGCCGACCUCUUGUGCUGCUUCAAUGCUGAAUCAGGAACUUCUUUGCUCCCUUCUUUUGUGGUUGAUUUGACUAUCGAUGUCUUGGCCACAUCAAUAAACUUUGGGGCCAAAGGUUUAGUCGCAUCUGCCUGCAAAGGGGAGAGCUGUUGGUUAGCCUACCCUGCGCAACUAUUUGAUUGUCGAGUGAGAGACUCUUGAUUGAGCUUUCCCUUUGGUGGCGACAAUGGGGAUGGUGGGACUUGCUUUGGUGUAAACGGAGGCUACAUGUUCCCAUCUAGAUCGAAGGCGAUUGAACAUAGUCAACUAGCCUCUGCAUAUGUAUAGCUGUGGCUAGCUGAUGCUGCAACGACUGUAGCCUUUAUUAGAUGGUUUGUGCAACCGGUGGCCCUUGUAAAGACUGCCACUGAUAUGCCUGGAAUGCAGCUGGGGCCAAUUGGUAAUGCUGGGGCUGCUGGUUCUGGUGUUGCGGCUGCUAAAUCAGUUGCUCUGUAAACUAGUUGACAAACAUGGUAUUUUGGCUUGUUGGUUCCAGCCUCUAGCAAUCUUGAUAUAUAAGCUGAGGGGCUGGAUGAAAAGUACUCGAGGCUGGUAGCAUGGGAAAUUGAGGCUCAUACGUUGUCGAUUGGCUGACCAACGGCUGCAUAUACUGUAGGCCAAGUUGUUGACCUUCCCGUGGCGCUGAAGAUGGUACUUCAUGAACCGAUUACCAAAUCCCAAAAUCUUGAAAUGAUGAGGGCGGAAUCUCAGCCACUGCUUGAUGUAGAGGCUGAGACAUGAAAGCAGUCGGCGGGGCGAACGUUGGUUGCGAUAAGUAACUGGUUGGUUAAAACUGAAGCACUUGUUGGCUUGAGGCUGCUCUAUAGAAUUGCCCUGAGGAUGCACUGACUGGUCAUGAGGGGUCGGCCUCAAUUAUUGCAACUGAGAUAUUGUAGAGAUUGACUGCGGCUGUCACAGGUUAGAGGCCAGUCGAGGCUGUGACAACCAAUCACUUGUAGGUGACGAAGAAUGGCUUGUUGCCUGACGUACGAAAGGAGCCAGCAGCAAGUAUGUUACUUGCGCCUUGGGCAUGCUAUAUAUUGAAGUAGAAAAAGAAAGGACCGUUGACUUGUGAGGCGACGACCCAUAGGAAGAAUGCUUGUACAGGUAUGCUGGAUAGUUCAGGCCGGCCUGAGCUGGCUGAGGUUGGUUGAACUGCAUGGGGCUGAAAAAAUUGGAUGAACUUCUGAUGUUCCUUCGUGGCGAUUGUAUCCAUCUUGACGAUUUCCUUUCCUUGCGACAGCUGGAUAAUCUUUAGCCGAACUAUAACCGGCUAUGUGGUGCUCGACUGUAUUGUCGUGGGAUUCUUUAAUAUCACUCAGCUCUUCAUAGUCCCGGA